rnacentral:rRNA from 1 species
GACGAACGCUGGCGGCGUGCCUAAUACAUGCCAGUCGUGCGGACCUUGUUGAAAGCUUGCUUUUAAAAGGUUAGCGGCGGACGGGUGAGUAACACGUGGGCAACCUGCCUGUAAGACUGGGAUAACGCCGGGAAACCGGGGCUAAUACCAGAUCGUUUUUUCCUCCGCAUGGAGGAAAAAGGAAAGGCGGCUUCGGCUGCCACUUACAGAUGGGUCCGCGGCGCAUUAGCUAGUUGGCGGGGUAAUGGCCCACCAAGGCAACGAUGCGUAGCCGACCUGAGAGGGUGAUCGGCCACAUUGGGACUGAGACACGGCCCAAACUCCUACGGGAGGCAGCAGUAGGGAAUCUUCCGCAAUGGACGAAAGUCUGACGGAGCAACGCCGCGUGAGUGAAGAAGGCCUUCGGGUCGUAAAACUCUGUUGCCGGGGAAGAACAAGUGCCGUUCGAACAGGGCGGCGCCUUGACGGUACCCGGCCAGAAAGCCACGGCUAACUACGUG